GAUGAACGCUGGUGGCGUGCCUAAUACAUGCAAGUCGAGCGAACAGACGAGGAGCUUGCUCCUUUGACGUUAGCGGCGGACGGGUGAGUAACACGUAGGUAACCUACCUAUAAGACUGGGAUAACUUCGGGAAACCGGAGCUAAUACCGGAUAAUAUUUCGAACCGCAUGGUUCGAUAGUGAAAGAUGGCUUUGCUAUCACUUAUAGAUGGACCUGCGCCGUAUUAGCUAGUUGGUAAGGUAACGGCUUACCAAGGCAACGAUACGUAGCCGACCUGAGAGGGUGAUCGGCCACACUGGAACUGAGACACGGUCCAGACUCCUACGGGAGGCAGCAGUAGGGAAUCUUCCGCAAUGGGCGAAAGCCUGACGGAGCAACGCCGCGUGAGUGAUGAAGGUCUUCGGAUCGUAAAACUCUGUUAUUAGGGAAGAACAAACGUGUAAGUAACUGUGCACGUCUUGACGGUACCUAAUCAGAAAGCCACGGCUAACUACGUG
rnacentral:rRNA from 1 species